rfam:Triticum aestivum genome assembly, contig: Triticum_aestivum_CS42_TGACv1_scaffold_499405_6BL
UGAGUACUCCCUCCGUCCGGAAAUACUUGUCGGAAGAGUCGAUGUAUCUAGACGUAUUUUAGUUCUAAGUACAUCCACUUUUAUCCAUUUAUCUGACAAGUAUUUCUGGACGGAGGGAGUAUUAA